rnacentral:lncRNA from 1 species
GUGGUUUCUACCAAUUGACCUUGUGUGGGAGACGAACCUCAUUAGUCAGGCUGGCCGAAGGUCUUGUCGUCUCUUAAUCAUCUUUGAUCGCCUCUGCUGCCUUCUUGGUUUUCAGUGGCUCCCAUUACUUGAGGGUGUGCCAAGACGUGAGUGUCCUAGAGGGAAGGACUGCAGUCGGCACCUAGAUGUAGGCGGGACUGCUGGGCAACAGCUGGGAAGUUCUUUGCAAUCCAGGAGUGCAAGCCCUGUUGCCUAUCAAAGCCAGGUGAUGCAGGGACCCAGCCUUUGGGUGGCAGCUGCAAAAGUCACAGGGCGGAGGCUUACUGAGCACAGCUGCAGCGGAACUGCUUGGAAUGGACCCAGCUUCCUGACCAAGCCGCUUGGCACCAGACCUUGCAGUUUCCCUACUCCAUGCCUCAGUGUCCUCAUCUGUACCUGGAAGGAAAUGAUGAUAAGGAUUCCCAAGAAUCAUUUGCUGAGAGACUGUUUAUACGUGACCCUCUCUGCCCCUUCCCUCCCCCAGCGCUGUCAGUCCCACUGGAAGAGGAGCUUCCCUUCUCCGAGCCACUGCUGAGGUGGGUGCACAGCCACUGCAUUUUCUCCUGCUUAAGAACAGUCUCUACACUUGAUAAAUCCAUCCGGUUGAGCAGUUCCCCCUGCCCCAACUCUUUCUCCUCUGUGUGCUGCUGUAGUAAUCCGGAGGCCAAACCCAAGGACUUUCUCAGACCCGCUACCCCUCCCCAAAUCCUGCAUGCUAAUGUUGUGAGAAAUUGUACCCCCUCUAGACCUGAGCACAUGGAUCUGUCCUGUUUCCACCAACACUGCUCUCAGUUUCAAGAGUCUACUAAACCCCAGUUAGUUACACAUGACAUUCGCUUGACGUUUGACAGUCCUCAAAAUAUAAAUGAUUUGUUCUGUAGAAUGGAAGCAUCUACUUCUAAGCCACUAAUAACUGCACACUGGUAUUGCAAAUAG